UAUAUGGGCUUUUUUUGCAAAUGGACCCCUGAAAAAAAUUAUUUUUAAAAAUAAUCCCAGCAAAUUUAUCUUUGUAAAAAUGACCCUGCCCUUACCGCGCAAGAGCCACGUCAACGCGGGCGGGGCUGGCGGUGGUAGUUAAGUUAAACACGGUGAACCAUUCACCGUGUCUAAACACGGUAAAUAGUUCACCGCGUUUAGAGCUAGUAUGUAUUUUUUGCAAUAUAAAUAUUGAAAAAAGAAUAGGGAGUAGGAAUGUCAAUGGGUAUGGAUAUAUGAAAUAUUAUUCGAACCCAAAUCCGAAUAAAUUAUAUAUAUACAUAAUUUAUUUUUAUUAUUUAUACAAUAUAUAAAAUAUUUAAUAAUUUUUAUUCCUUAGAUUUUUAUCCAACGGUAUAGAUUUUUAAAAUCCGCUGGGUUCAGAUUCGGGUUUUGAGUUUUUGGUCGGAUAUGGAUAUGGGUAUGAAUUUUUAAAAUCCGUCGGGUUUGGGUUUUAAUUUGAUUUUCGGAUUCGGAUUUGGAUUUUUGAAAAAGAAAAAAAAAAGAAUACAAAUAUGAAACACGGUGAACCAUUCACCGUGUUUGAACACGGUGAAUGGUUCACCAUGUUCAACUUAACACACUGGCACCGACCCUGCCCGCGUGGCGCUGACAUGGCGCCUGCAUGGCAGGUCCUGUGCCAUUUUUACAAAUUGAAUUUGGGUAGGGCUAUUUUUUAAAUAAAAAUUUGUCAGGGGUCUAAAUGCAAAAAAAGCCCACAUAUAUACAUAUAUCAAUUCUACUUCCAUAUGAUCUACUCUUUUCUCACGCGCGCGCGCAGGCGCGCGCACACACACACACAAAAUCAUGGCUGUGCACAAGUUAAUCGCACUAAGGGGUCGUUUGGUUGUAUAUAGUUGCAACUGUAUUAUAGUUAUAGCCGCAUGCAAAUAUAAAUUUGGUGUUUGAUUUAAUGUAUAACUCUAAUUGUUGUAGUAAAAAUUGCUGGAGGAGAUCCAACUGCAGCAACUGGAACAGUUCCAACUACAGCAAUUGGAGAGAGUAAUUUUAAACAAAAAGUGAACUUAUCUUCUUAAUUAUUUUUUAAAUAAAAAAAAUAUUAUAUAGAGCUAAUUUCACCAUCAUAUAUAUAAAAUAAUAAAAUUCUAAAAAUUUAUUUCUCAACUGAAUGUAACCAAAUAAAUUAUUAUUUAUAAUUAUGACGCUUUCUACUAUAUCCAAUCAAAUAUGAUGCAUGUAGUUGCAACUACUAUAUUUUCAACUAUAUCCAUCUCUAACUACACUAUAUUUAUAAUUACAUAUAGCCAAACAGCUCCGAAACUUACCUGUUAGAAAGAAAAGCGCACUCUUAUAACAUUAUCAAAAUACAAUAAUAAUGAGCUGUGGUAGAAAAUAUUUUUAUAUACUUUCCAAUUUACUUCAUAUCGAUUUCCGACACGGUUUAUAUAUAAUCUAAAUUUUUUUAAAUAUUCAUGCAUUCAAACAGAAUAAUAUAUACUUC
rnacentral:lncRNA from 1 species